rnacentral:rRNA from 1 species
UUUAAUUAGUUUAAAAGUGACGGGCGAUAUGUGCAUAAAUUAUUGCAUUUUCAAAUUAAAAUUUUCUUUUUUUAUUUUAAUUUUAGAUCCUAAUUCAUUAUUAUUUUCCUUUUAUACUUCCUUUUGUGAAUUAAUUGUAUUCCAUGGGUAACUAUAAUAUUAACCUUUGUCUUGAUUUGUAAUUUUUUACUUUUAAAUUUAAAAUUUUUUUAUUUUUAUAAAAUUUUAUACAAUGAUAUAAAAGGUUAAAUUUUUAGUUCAUUUAAUUGUGGGUUGUCAAUUAAUUCACAGAAUCCUCUAUUUAGUUAAUUUACCGCCAUAUUAUUUAGUUUUUUCUUUUUUAGGUACUCUCUUUUUAAUUUUUAAAA